UAGAACUGGCGUGUGAUUUAGGUAGUUUCAUGUUGUUGGGGCUCAAGUCUAUCUCUACAACACGAAACUGCCUGAAUUACUGCAGUUAU
rnacentral:pre_miRNA from 1 species